GGGGAAACCUUCAUUCCUGCUAUGGCGUUAACCCUGAGGAUAUGAAAUAGAGAACAGGGAGCUUAUAAAACCCUCAUGACAAACUUCACUUCUUUGCAUCUUGUGGCUUGUCCUUGUGGGAAAAGCCAUCAGGGACAGGUGUGUGGGUUGCAGCCCACACAAGCCUUCAGUAGUCAGAUAACAGCUGCCUACCAGUGGCCAUAAUAACAAAAGGGGGUGCUUCCCAGAGGGGCAGCUAAUUGCAAUUGCCCUGCCUGGAGGAGACAUUUUUUUCUCAGUCUCCCACAGGCAUCCUAUAUGCUUGUAGCAUCAGGGAAGCAAAAUGGCCACAGGCCCUUUUGCAUGGCUCAGGCCAGCCACUUUCAAGACUGCCAGGUCAGGAAAUGCCAAGGAAUUCUGGUUCUUCCAGAGCUGUGGGUCCUCUGCCCAGAGCCAGGAGGUGCGAGAUGGUACUAUCUCUUUUGCUGCCUGGAUUUCAUGGAGGAAGGACACUAAGGCUGUCAGAGGUGAGAGCAGUCAGAAGCGCCAGCCACUUUCAAAGGUGGUCUUGUUUUUCAUGAAAGUUUCCAAGUGAUAAUAACAUGUCUCAGGAUUGAGACUUUGAGAAUGAAUUUGCAGCUCCCCAGUGAUGGAUAAAACACCAUCAGAAAGUGUGACAGUGCCCUGCACAUCCAGCUCUGUCAGAGGGAAAUGAAUCACACACACACACACACACACACACACACACACACACACACACACACACACCCACCACAAAGCAGGCCUCCCAGAACAUAUUGCCAUCACAACCCAGGAACACUGGCCACCACAUUUCUGUUAUCUAUCUACAAAUAAUGUGCUGGGCUAAUUUUCUACUGAAAGACAGCAUGCCUCUACAAACUGGCUUUAUUAACUCAAUUGGAAAAAAUGAUUUUGCAAUUUGCAUGGGGCUUAAGAGUGUAAUUAAUACAAUUCAUAAAAGGCCGAUGCCCCUUUGCAGACGUUAACCCCGCAGGGGAUUGUGAAGUAGUUUGCUUUAGACAGAGUUCUUGCAUCUGCAAUUCCAAUGGCCAGCAGUGCCCUGCUUCUUGGUGGGCAACUCUGAUCUUUCUCAAUCAUAAUACACAACUGAGAAAAAUUAAAGAAAGCCUAAAUAUAGAGAUAUUCACAUAUUAGAAGUAGUGUCAUUGCAAAUAUUUUUCUCUCCCAAAUUCUAUACUAUAAAGCAAUUCCAGUUAAAGUAUCAACAGUUUUUUUUUCUUUUUGUGAAAGUUGGCAAAUUUAUUAUAAAACUAUAUGGCAAAGAAAAGAAGCAAAGGAAAAUGUAUAUAAUUAGGGUAUUCUUGAAGAAAAAGUUGAUGAAUGGGAAGGAGAAAGGAAGAUUUGCUCUACCAGAUACCAAGACAACUUGGAAACUAAAGCACAGGGCACCUUGGCAUUGGUGCAAGGAUAAGCAUUAAGAUCAGUGGAACAGAAUAAAAUUCCAGAGGCUGACCCAUAUACAGACGGAAACUUAAUAUAUAGCAGAGGUGACCCUGCAGAGUCAUGGAGAAAGGACAGUCUUCUUAAUAAGAAGCUCUGGGACAAAUGGAUCUCCAUGUCAGAAAAAAAAAAUCAGUUCCAAGUGGAGUCUUGACCAAGUGUUAAAGCCAAAACAGUAGAGCAUUUAAAAGUUGUCUUAGAAGGUUAUACGGCAGGAUAUUUUCAUAACCUUAAGGUAUGGAAAUAUUUUGAAAAUAAGACAGAAAAAUCUCUAACAUGAAAGAAAAAGAUUAAUAAGUUACUCAUCAAAAGACACCUUUAAGAGUGUGAAAUGCACCAGAUAGGAAAAAAUUGUAACAAUUUUGAUUAUAAAUCUUUCUGAAAACCAUGACAAUUUUUCUUGCAUUUUUUUCAAAUAGAUGCCCUGAAUAAAACACUUUAGCACUUUAUGAAAGUGGGACUCAUUGGUAAUUCAUUUACUUCAGAGAUGCAGAAAAGUACUGGUAAGCUGUUUAGAAAUGUUUUCCUCCUUGGAAGAUUCUAGAAGCUUCAAAUCAUACCUCAACCCCUACAUCCUUCCUCUCUUGGAUUCAUUUCUUUCAUCCUUUCUUACAGUGCAGAAUCGUAGCAGACUUUCAAGUCCUCUGCAGCUGAGAACCUCCUUAGAGAGGCACUGACAUGUACACAGCCUUUGGGUUUCAACAAAGAACCUGCCAGAUCUUUCUUGCUCUCUCUUCUCAUCAAGGUUGCAAAGUCUGGGGUCAGUUAGUCAGAAGAAGGGAAAUUUACUGACUGUUCCUUUGAUGAUGUAAUUUUUAUGAAAGCUAGUGCACCUCAUAGCUCAUCAGACACCCAGGGCCCUGUAUUCCCAAACCAAUGAUUGGGCGAGUCGCCUUCACCAUAAUUUUGUUUUUAUCAAACCAGACUGAAAAGCCACCAUCUUUUCUUUCUGCACAUCUGCACAUGAUAAAUUAUUUCUAUUCCCUUUAAUCCAUUUUUUAUUAUUCUUCAAAAAUAUCUCAUGCUUUUCGUCCCUGGUGUUGUUGGAAAUAAAGCCCUGCCAAAUUCAGCUCCAUUGUUGGGGAGGCCAGCAUCAUACAGAAUGGCCAUUUUCCCCGAGUUAAUGAAUUAGUAAAUUAGCAAGUGGUGAGUCGAAAUUAGAUAAUUGCCUUAACUUAAAAAAUCUCUGUAUUCACUAAGCCCAUUAACUGAAAAAAAAAAAAAUUAUUGCCACUGACAUCUCCACACACUGGGCGUUUCAGGGCUUUUGCUCUGACCUCUUACAGGGAGGUGGGGGAGGGGAUUGAGCGGCUGGCCAUGAGUGUAUCAGCAGCAGCCCCAUUUCGAGCCUUCAGAUAACCUUCCCCCUGCAGCUAAUAUAUUCUUAUUUCAUCUCCAUGCUGAUGGUUAUUAUAGCAAAGACUGGGCUAAUGCCUUGCUUUCCUACAGCCAGUUUUUUGCUCCUCAAAUACCCUGAGGAAUGAACUAGACGUCUGUCAUCUUUGCCCAUUAUGGAAAGAAAGUUCUCUAAUUGCAUUGCACGUAAAUAAUAAUAUGGAAUGCCAAGGCAAAACUUCCUUAGGCCCUCUGCAAACCUUCCCAGAUGCAACCUCACAACGUCUGGACUCCUUGGAAAUAGACUGAAAAUUACUGGAAAGCUCAGGAGGGAUCAUCUGGAUGAGAGAAUUUUCACAUGGUUCUCUUUGUGAUCUGGGAGACUGGAUGGUGGCUGUCUGGGGGAACCGGAUGCUUCUCUGCGGACACCGUUCUCUCCAGAAAAUGAAUCUGUCCUUCUGUCUAGAACAUCAUUCUCUUGAAACCAUGAGGUGGUCACCCCCAAACUUCAGUCAAUGAAUAAACUUCCUGGAAAACUUUCUAGACACCCAGAUUCUGGAGCGUUUCCUCCAGAGAUGCUAUUUGGGGCGUCUAAGUUUGAGCCUACGAUUUUGCAUUUUUUGGAAACCAAUACCCAAGUGGGUCUAAAACAAUUGAUCCCAAGAUGUUCCUGAAACUAAGCAAAAGUGAUUGUCAUGUGGACAUUUUGAGAUAGGAGGUCUCUGGUCUUCUGUCUUUCAAGAUAAAGGACUAGAACCUUCACUGUGGUUUGUCUGAGGUCGAUCAGCACUCCCUAUUGAUGGGCCUACUCCGGUAAACUAUCCACAGAAGUUUCCCUCAGGUCACCUAAGCAAGCUGAUCUGCUAGAAGGAGCUAGUCAGUACUUUGGAAAAGGUCUACCGUAAACUGUAAUUUCAGUUUAGCUGAAAUGAUAGGAAAUGAAUGAAAUAUGAAAUGACCUCCAUCUUCAGUUCACCAAUAAUGGAGUCUUAGGCUGCAGACCUGAACAGAGGUCAGCUGGCCAGGUGGUGAUGGCCGGGGGCCUGGUGUGUUCUGAGAUGUGUCCCAGACACUCAGAGCUGAGUCCAGCUGGUGACAAAGAAGAUGCAUGUCUCAAAAAGACAAAAGGGGCUUUUAAAAAGUGGAGAUGCCAGAGACGGCACAUCCCAUGAAGUCUAAAAACAUGGAUCUGAAAAACUCUUUCUGAGCCUUCUUUUGCAGAGACUCAUAGAGGAAGCAAAGUGAAACAAAAUGGAAAAUCAAAUCUGAAUCGCUUUUCAUGGCGAUCCUGUGACAUGCUUAUUUAUGGGAUAGACCCAAGCUAAGUGCUUCAAGUAUGUUUGGAUAUGAAAACACUCAGUGAUGCUGGGUGCGUUGCCUCAUUAAAUGUGUGUGCAUGCUCACGUGUGUAUAUAUGUAAUGCAUGUGUGUAGAUAUACAUCUGUAUUGUGUAUAUAUGUUUGUGUAUAUGUGUGUGCAUGUAUAUGCAUAUGUGUAUUAUAUAUGUGCAUGUAUAUUGUGUGUGUGUGUGUACUGUAUGCAUAUGUGUAUGUGUGUGUGUGUAUGCAUGUGUGUAUGUUGUGUGUGUCUUUGCUUGACUCAUGUUUGAUUCAAGAUUUUUUUCUGUAAAUUGGAAUUGGAAUAUACAACCUGCUUGCUUUGUAAGUUCUCAUUGCAUUAUUAGUCUUAAAAGGAUACCUGUGAGAAUAAAAAUAGAUUAGUGAAUAUAUGUUUAUACACAGCACACUCUUCCACGAGCCCAUGAGAUUCAUAUCUUUCUGUUUAUUCUUCUGUGUGUAUCUAUUGAUAUCUCUAUUUCAACAUUCAGAAAGUAUUUUCCAUUUGACUUGUUGCAGAGUAAUCAUCCCCUAAUUUUUUAAAAAUCCAUGUUGAUUUGGUAAAUUACAAUAAACUCUCUUUUGCAGAACAAAAUUGUUAGGUCAAUCAUUUCAAAAUCACAGUCUUUUUAUUUUAGCUAUUUCUUGAAAUGUUCCCAUGUAUUCAGUCAAUAAACUGUAGAACGGCUUUAAAUAACAAUCUCGAAUUUAUCUCUCAGGUGCUCCAUAUUUUCUUCUCAAUAUGUAUUUGUUU
rnacentral:lncRNA from 1 species